CCUACGGGAGGCAGCAGUGGGGAAUUUUCCGCAAUGGGCGAAAGCCUGACGGAGCAAUACCGCGUGAGGGAUGACGGCCUAUGGGUUGUAAACCUCUUUUUUCAGGGAGGAAUAACUGACGUGUACCUGAAGAAUAAGCAUCGGCUAACUCCGUGCCAGCAGCCGCGGUAAGACGGAGGAUGCAAGUGUUAUCCGGAAUCACUGGGCGUAAAGCGUCUGUAGGUGGUCUAAUAAGUCAACUGUUAAAUCUUGAGGCUUAACUUCAAAACUGCAGUCGAAACUAUUAGACUAGAGUAUAGUAGGGGUAAAGGGAAUUUCCAGUGGAGCGGUGAAAUGCGUAGAUAUUGGAAAGAACACCGAUGGCGAAGGCACUUUACUGGGCUAUUACUAACACUCAGAGACGAAAGCUAGGGUAGCAAAUGGGAUUAGAUACCCCAGUAGUCCUAGCUGUAAACAAUGGAUACUAGAUGUUGAACAGAUCGACCUGUGCAGUAUCAAAGCUAACGCGUUAAGUAUCCCGCCUGGGAAGUAUGCUCGCAAGAGUGAAACUCAAAUGAAUUGACGG
rnacentral:rRNA from 1 species